UGAGUAACACGUAUCCAACCUGCCGUCUACUCUUGGCCAGCCUUCUGAAAGGAAGAUUAAUCCAGGAUGGCAUCAUGAGUUCACAUGUCCGCAUGAUUAAAGGUAUUUUCCGGUAGACGAUGGGGAUGCGUUCCAUUAGAUAGUAGGCGGGGUAACGGCCCACCUAGUCGACGAUGGAUAGGGGUUCUGAGAGGAAGGUCCCCCACAUUGGAACUGAGACACGGUCCAA
rnacentral:rRNA from 1 species